AUGGUGAACGUCAACUGGGAGCUGCAGGGCUGCUGCCAGCACAACCAGGUCGUCUUCAUCGCCGCCGUCGGCGUCUCCACCGUCGUCAUCCUCGCCCUGUGGAGGACGUUCCUGCUCACGCCUUUCAAGCUCAUCACCGUCUUCCUCCACGAGACCAGCCACGCCCUCGCCUGCAAGCUCACCUGCGGAGAUGUUGAGGGAAUGCAGGUCCAUGCUAAUGAGGGUGGUGUUACACAAACUCGCGGUGGCAUUUACUGGAUAAUCUUNNNNNNNNNNNAUCUGGGUUCAUCAUUUUGGGGAAUGGUGUUCAUACUUUCAUCCACACAUCUCCUGGCUACAAGAAUUGCGGCUGGUUGCUUCAUACUUGCAUUAAUUAUUGUUCUCUUUGUUGCCAAAAAUUGGUUUCUGCGCUGGCUCUGCAUUGGUUUCAUCAUAUUCAUUGCUGUUGUUUGGGUUAUACAAGAAUUUACAACUUUCCAUGUUCUGAAGUAUGUUAUUCUAUUCAUAGGUGUUAUGAACAGCUUAUUUUCAGUUUACGAUAUCUAUGAUGACACCAUAUCCCGAAGAGUGAAUUCAAGUGAUGCUGAGAAAUUUGCUGAAAUCUGCCCUUGCCCUUGCAAUGGCGUUGGAUGGGGUGUUAUAUGGGGCUUCAUCUCAUUUAUUUUUCUCUGUGCGUCGAUAUAUCUUGGACUGGUUAUAUUGUCCUGA
rnacentral:rRNA from 1 species